UAGGGAAUCUUUCCACAAUGGACGAAAGUCUGAUGGAGCAACGCCGCGUGAGUGAAGAAGGGUUUCGGCUCGUAAAGCUCUGUUGGUAGUGAAGAAAGAUAGAGGUAGUAACUGGCCUUUAUUUGACGGUAAUUACUUAGAAAGUCACGGCUAACUACGUGCC
rnacentral:rRNA from 1 species